rnacentral:lncRNA from 1 species
AACCUUAUGUGGUGGGUGUGAGGUCGAAUUUGUGUUUAGUCCAUCAAUACUUAUGAUUUUCUGUUUCAUGUUUUGUUUGAAUUUAUCGACGACGCUAAUUUUUGUUAUCACAUUUGCAAGGAGUUUAGUUCAGCCUUUAGGAUUCGAUACAAGACAACAUAAUGGUGGUCUCGGUGUAUGUACACCUUUGAUGUACACGUAUACACGUGCUAUACCAAAAUAUCUGUAUGAAGCUCCGUCAUGCACCGUCAGUGCUAGCACAACUGAAGCUGCGUUGGAACCAGAACUAACCAAUUGAUCCCAACCGGAUACCGAUGCCUAUCUACUACCUGUGGAAAUGAUUUCUAGUAACAACCUGCAAUUGGUAAUUGGAUAACUGAUUGUGGACUCGAAGCACGAACUUCAGUGGGCAUUUAAUGUGCCAAAACAUACUCGGGUUAUUGUUUCCAAAUUCAAUAUGCCAGUGAAAAACAAAAGGGUUUUCAUAGUCUUUCCACAUUUUAAUGCAGCAUGUGUGAUGAAAUUUGGCACCAUUGUUCUGAAAGGGAUAACACAAACAUAAUAUGCUUUAUGUGGGCAAUCAUAACAGCUUGCAGAUAUUACACGCGAGUGGCUAAUAUGAUAAUCUUUGUGGACUCGCCAAAUAUGGCUGGUAUUAUAUUUCUUGCAAUUGAAAAACGACAAUACAUGGGACAAAUAAUUGACUACGGAAAGAAAGAAACCUGGUGACUAAGAUAGAUUUAUUGCCAGUGUAAAAAGGCUUGAAUUAUCAGCAAUGACAAAAAAGCCUAUUUAUUGGUUUCAAAAAUAAAUACUGUUUCACAAUAGGACAAUAUUAUGAAUUGAAAAGAAUAGAUUUAAACAGACCUAGUUGCUGUAAAAUUACAGAGCCGUUUACGGCAAUGGAAUCUAAAAUAAUAAAUUUCAAGAGUGAAGAAAUGCAUAGUCUCCAUUAUUUAAAUUUUAUUAGAGAUGGAGAUUCUUCUGUGUUUGCUAAUGUGAAAGAAAAAGUACAACAAGGGAACUAAAUAAAAAAAUUGACACCAGUGCACAAGAUUUUAGCUAAUACAAAGCUUCCACACUAUGGAUGAAAUAUUUUUAAACCAAGGUUACUGAAGAACUACUGUGCAAUAAAUUAUUG